AAGAGGGGGAGGUGCGGGAGGGAGGAGGGCGAGCUGCGCGCGCUGGUCUGGCGGGGGCCGACCCGGCCGCGCCCGCCUCGUGACCCACCCUGGGGCCCAGCCUGGACCUGCGCGCCCAGCCGAGCUGCUGACUAAGCGGGCACGCAGCGGCCUGGCGCGAGGUUCUUCAGAGGGCGAUCGUUGGGCGGUCGGGCACCGACUUCCUAGCACCCUGGGCGGCUGCGCCCUCCUGCGGACGGGCCUACGCCUGGAUGUGGGCACGCGGGUCCUCUGGGGCGGCGGAGCGGCCUCAGAGCACGAGGUGCCGAGUAGCACCCAGCUCCCAACCGCGCGUCGCUGCAGGGAACGCUGCGCCCAGGGCCCCGCCCCGCCCUGUCCCGGCGCUCAUUUGUCGUCAGCCGUCUCUAGCAUUUUGCAGCCCUUACCUGGGCGGUGCCUGUCAGGGUGUGUUUCAUAACCCAACGAGGGGCUUUGGAAGAAAGGGUGGCCAAGGGCUCAUCUGUGACCCUCAGCCUCAUGAGAAUUGUGGGAAGUUUUCUCUACCCUGGCACCUACCUCACUCUUUACUGGAAGACCCGUAUAGGACCGCACGCACAGUUUUUGCUGCCCCUCUCCAGAAUUUUUCACCUCGUGGGACAUUGCUGUGACCAUCAUGGGAGGAUGGCCUGAACCCUGGAGAGAAGUUAGCCUCCAAUAGCUUGAAGGAGACUGACAAGGACCAUCUCCUGGAAGGAAGAAAAGAAAGUGCUAAUGUGGCACGGGUGAGGGACUGACCUAAGUUUUUUUCACAAGUGAGCUCAUCUGAGGGGCUGAGGCUGUAGCUCAAUGGUAAAGUGCUUGCCUCUCAUGUGUGAGGCAUUGGGUUCAAUCCUCAGCACCACGUAAAAAUAAAGAUACAAGUGAGCUCAUCUGAGUCCAUAAGGGUGUUGUGAGCUAGGUGGAACAUUUGAUAUAAGGAAAUUGGUUCAUCAGGUUAAAAUAGGUCACCUCAUAUCUCAUAGCAAGGAUGACAUAGAGCCAUACUCUUGGAGACUCCACUGCAGUUGUGUUCUAGGGUUCUGGCAAGAAAGGAUCAUCUGGUCAAGUCUCCCUCACAGUCUUGAGAUGCUAGGGACCAUAUUAGAGGGUAUGAACGAAGGCAUCUUACACUAUGGCCUACCCCUCCAAGUUCUCAGCCGUUUGUCUCAGAACAAAACCACACUAGGUAGCCAGGUGUUCAGGCGUAUGCCUGUAAUCCCUGCUACUUGGGAGGCUGAGGGAGGGAGAUUGCAAGACCAGCCAAAACAAUUUAGUGAGAUCCUGUCUCAAAAAAGGGCUGGGGAUAUAGCUUAGUGGUUAAGUGCACCCAUGUUCUAUCCCUGGUACCAGAAAAACAACAACAACAAAAAUAAAAUAAAACACAUUAAACCAUG